GCAAUUCAAUUUUAGUUCUGCGUUUAUGACUUUUAUUGUAUAUUAGUUUCAUAGUUGGUCAUUUCAUAUUAAUAUUCUUUCAAUAGUUAAUAGCCACAUUUGUAUGAAAACUUGAUCAUAUUUGCACUGUAGUCUCUUAGGAAAAUGGAAAGGGAAAAAAAAAAAAAAAAAAAAAGGUAAGUCUUAAAGGAGAAAAAAUGAUUAGAAAGAGAUUCAAAUUUUCUGUUGUAAGUCCAGUUUAAUGGCCUUGUUGAAAUUAUAUAAAGACAAUAUCUAGUUUGAGGUUUCUUGUUUGUGGAUGUGGGUGUCCGAAUCUAACAAAGUUGUAAUUCCUUUCAUUGCGAAAUAAGGAAGUCAGUAUGGGUUUUCCUCAAAAUUUGGCCACUUGCCGAUCGAAUUGGACUUUGAGUCAAGCAAAAUAAGGAAAUUUAUACAAGAUUGCAAGUUGGCGUGAUGGAUGUUGAGACAUUGGAGUGCAAGCUGGCGUGAUGGCUUUUCCAAGUGGCUUUAUGAGUUUAUAAGGACUUAUUGUCCAAGUCCAAAUAGAAAAUAUUAGUUUAAUCAUUUACAAACUUUUAUAACAUUUGAAUUGUACCAUACAUUUGGCCAAGUUAUAAUAUUUCAAUUUUACCGUACA